AGGAUGAACGCUGGCGGCGUGCCUAACACAUGCAAGUCGAACGUCCUGUCUCGCAAGAGGCAGGGAGUGGCGGACGGGUGAGUACCACGUGGGUCAUCUACCGUGAGGUGAGGAAUACCGGCGAGAAAUCGCCGACAAGACCGCAUAGCCUCGGUGCAAGUCGAGGAAAGCUCUCUCGAGAGAGGGAGCGCCACACGAGGAGCCUGCGCCCGAUUAGCUAGCUGGUGGAGUAAUGGUUCACCAGGGCGACGAUCGGUAGCUGGUCUGAGAGGACGAUCAGCCACACUGGGAUUGAGAACGGCCCAGACUCCUACGGGGGGCAGCAGUGAGGAAUUUUCGCAAUGGGGGCAACCCUGAACGAGCAACGCCGCGUGCAGGAAGAAGGUUUUCGGAUCGUAAACUGCUUUUCGUCGGGGAAGAGAACGGACGGUACCGAGGAAUCGAGCCCCGGCUAACUACGUGCCAGCAGCCGCGGU
rnacentral:rRNA from 1 species